UCCGGUUUGGCACCGGCAGUCUCCUACGAGUCCCCGCCAUAACGCGCUGGCAACAUAGGAUAAGGGUUGCGCUCGUUGCGGGACUUAGCCCAACAUCUCACGACACGAGCUGACGACAGCCAUGCACCACCUGUGAAGAUGCCCCGAAGGGAAGACCUGUUUCCAGGCCGGUCAUCCACAUGUCAAGCCCAGGUAAGGUUCUUCGCGUUGCGUCGAAUUAAACCACAUGCUCCGCUGCUUGUGCGGGCCCCCGUCAAUUCCUUGGAGUUUUAAUCUUGCGACCGUACUCCCCAGGCGGGGCACUUAAUGCGUUAGCUGCGGCACCCAAGGGGUCAAUACCUCGGACACCUAGUGCCCAUCGUUUACAGCGUGGACUAC
rnacentral:misc_RNA from 1 species